rnacentral:lncRNA from 1 species
GCCGGGUGUGGUGGUGGGCGCCUGUAACCCAGCUACUCGGGAGGCUGAGGCAGGAAAAUUCCUGGAACCCGGGAGUUGGAGGUUGCAGUAAACCGAGAUUGCGCCACUGCACUCCAGCCUGGGCUGGACAGAGCGAGACUCCAUCUCAAAAAAAAAAAAAAAAAAAAAAAGGUUUGUUUGAGACAGGAUCUCAAUCUGUCACCCAGGCUGGAGUGCAGUGGCGUGAACAUGGCUCACUGCAACCUUGAACUUCUGAGCUCAAUGGAUCCUCCUACCU